AGGUUUCCAAUUUAGGGGGAUUCGGCGAAAUAUUACCCUCAGUGAUGAUAUUUCAUCACUUCGAGUAACAUUUCGCCGAAUCCCCCUCGCUCCA